UACAGAGGAUGCAAGCGUUAUCCGGAAUGAUUGGGCGUAAAGCGUCUGUAGGUGGCUUUUUAAGUCCGCCGUCAAAUCCCAGGGCUCAACUCUGGACAGGCGGUGGAAACUACCAAGCUGGAGUACGGUAGGGGCAGAGGGAAUUCCCGGUGUAGCGGUGAAAUGCGUAGAGAUCCGGAGGAACACCAGAGGCGAAGGCGGCGCACCGGGCUGCACCUGACGCUGAUCCGCGAAAGCCAGGGGAGCGAACGGG
rnacentral:rRNA from 1 species